AUCUGGAUAGCUCCAUUGGUUAGAGCGUGGUUCUGAUACCACCAAGGUUACAGGUUUGAUUUCCUGUAUGGGACA